rnacentral:rRNA from 1 species
GACGAACGCUGGCGGCGUGCUUAACACAUGCAAGUCGAACGGAAAGGCCCUGCUUUUGUGGGGUGCUCGAGUGGCGAACGGGUGAGUAACACGUGAGUAACCUGCCCUUGACUUUGGGAUAACUUCAGGAAACUGGGGCUAAUACCGGAUAGGAGCUCCUGCUGCAUGGUGGGGGUUGGAAAGUUUCGGCGGUUGGGGAUGGACUCGCGGCUUAUCAGCUUGUUGGUGGGGUAGUGGCUUACCAAGGCUUUGACGGGUAGCCGGCCUGAGAGGGUGACCGGUCACAUUGGGACUGAGAUACGGCCCAGACUCCUACGGGAGGCAGCAGUGGGAAAUAUUGCACAAUGGGCGGAAGCCUGAUGCAGCAACGCCGCGUGCGGGAUGACGGCCUUCGGGUUGUAAACCGCUUUCGCCUGUGACGAAGCGUGAGUGACGGUAAUGGGUAAAGAAGCACCGGCUAACUACGUG